AUAAAGUAGGCGAACGGCUGAGUAACACGUGGGCAACCUGCCCUUUGCACUGGGAUAGCCUCGGGAAACCGAGGUUAAUACCGGAUACUCCAUAUUUGUCGCAUGGCGAAUAUGGGAAAGCUCCGGCGGCAAAGGAUGGGCCCGCGGCCUGUUAGCUAGUUGGUGGGGUAGUGGCCUACCAAGGCAAUGAUGGGUAGCCGGGUUGAGAGACCGACCGGCCAGAUUGGGACUGAGACACGGCCCAGACUCCUACGGGAGGCAGCAGGA
rnacentral:rRNA from 1 species